UAGAGUUUGAUCCUGGCUCAGAGCGAACGCUGGCGGCAGGCUUAACACAUGCAAGUCGAGCGGGCGCAGCAAUGCGUCAGCGGCAGACGGGAGAGUAACACGUGGGAACGCGCCCUUCGGUUCGGAAUAACUCAGGGAAACUUGAGCUAAUACCGGAUACGCCCUAACGGGGAAAGAUUUAUCGCCGAAGGAACGGCCCGCGUCUGAUUAGCUAGUUGGUGGGGUAAUGGCCCACCAAGGCGACGAUCAGUAGCUGGUCUGAGAGGAUGAUCAGCCUCACUGGGACUGAGACACGGCCCAGACUCCUACGGGAGGCAGCAGUGGGGAAUCUUGCGCAAUGCGCGAAAGCGUGACGCAGCAACGCCGCGUGGGGGAAGACGGCCUUCGGGUUGUAAACCCCUUUCAGGAGGGACGAAGGUUCACCGGUUAACAGCCGUGUGGAUUGACGGUACCUCCAGAAGAAGCUCCGGCUAACUACGUGCCAGCAGCCGCGGUA
rnacentral:rRNA from 1 species